UACGGGGGGGGCAAGCGUUGUUCGGAAUUACUGGGCGUAAAGGGUUUGUAGGUGGCUUGCUAAGUCAGACGUGAAAUCCCUCAGCUUAACUGGGGAACUGCGUCUGAGACUGGCAGGCUUGAGUGCAGGAGAGGAACGCGGAAUUCCAGGUGUAGCGGUGAAAUGCGUAGAUAUCUGGAGGAACACCGGUGGCGAAGGCGGCGUUCUGGACUGCAACUGACACUGAAAAACGAAAGCCAGGGGAGCAAACGGG
rnacentral:rRNA from 1 species